rnacentral:rRNA from 1 species
UACAGAGGGUGCGAGCGUUAAUCGGAAUUACUGGGCGUAAAGCGUGCGUAGACGGCUAUCUAAGUCGGGUGUGAAAGCCCCGGGCUCAACCUGGGAAUUGCAUUCGAGACUGAAUAGCUAGGGUACGGUAGAGGGAAGCGGAAUUUCCGGUGUAGCGGUGAAAUGCGUAGAUAUCGGAAGGAACAUCAGUGGCGAAAGCGGCUUCCUGGACCAGUACCGACGUCAGGCACGAAAGCGUGGGGAGCAAACAGGAA